rnacentral:sRNA from 1 species
UAAGCCGUACACAGCUUUAUUUAGCCUGU